AACGAACGCUGGCGGCAUGCCUAACACAUGCAAGUAGAACGAAGCCUUCGGGCUUAGUGGCGCACGGGUGCGUAACACGUGGGAAUCUGCCCUUCGGUUCGGAAUAACAGUUAGAAAUGACUGCUAAUACCGGAUGAUGACGUAAGUCCAAAGAUUUAUCGCCGAAGGAUGAGCCCGCGUAGGAUUAGGUAGUUGGUAGGGUAAUGGCCUACCAAGCCGACGAUCCUUAGCUGGUCUGAGAGGAUGAUCAGCCACACUGGGACUGAGACACGGCCCAGACUCCUACGGGAGGCAGCAGUGGGGAAUAUUGGACAAUGGGCGAAAGCCUGAUCCAGCAAUGCCGCGUGAGUGAUGAAGGCCUUAGGGUUGUAAAGCUCUUUUACCAGGGAUGAUAAUGACAGUACCUGGAGAAUAAGCUCCGGCUAACUCCGUGCCAGCAGCCGCGGUAAU
rnacentral:rRNA from 1 species